CGAUGAAACUUUACUGACUUCUUCGGAAUGAUUUAAAGCGGAUUAGUGGCGAACGGGUGAGUAACGCGUGAGUAACCUGCCUUACACAAGGGGAUAGCCUCUGGAAACGGAGAAUAAUACCCUAUGAAACCAGACAAUCGCAUGAUAAUCUGGUCAAAAUGUUUAGUGGUGUAAGAUGGACUUGCGUCUGAUUAGCUAGUUGGUGAGAUAACAGCUCACCAAGGCAACGAUCAGUAGCCGGCUUGAGAGAGUGUACGGCCACAUUGGGACUGAGACACGGCCCAGACUCCUACGGGAGGCAGCAGUGGGGAAUUUUGCACAAUGGGGGAAACCCUGAUGCAGCGACGCCGCGUGAUUUAGAAGGCCUUCGGGUUGUAAAAAUCUUUUGUAUAGGAAGAAAAUGACAGUACUAUACGAAUAAGGUCCGGCUAAUUACGUGCCAGCAGCCGCGGUAAUACGUAAGGACCGAGCGUUGUCCGGCAUCAUUGGGCGUAAAGGGUACGUAGGCGGGUUUUUAAGUUAGAAGUCAAAGGCUAUAGCUCAACUAUAGUAAGCUUCUAAAACUGGGAACCUUGAGUAAUGGAAGGGAAAGUGGAAUUCCUAGUGUAGCGGUGGAAUGCGCAGAUAUUAGGAGGAAUACCGGUGGCGAAGGCGACUUUCUGGCCAUUAACUGACGCUGAGGUAC
rnacentral:rRNA from 2 species